rnacentral:rRNA from 1 species
GAGUUUGAUUAUGGCUCAGAUUGAACGCUGGCGGCAUGCUUUACACAUGCAAGUCGGACGGCAGCACAGAGAAGCUUGCUUCUUGGGUGGCGAGUGGCGAACGGGUGAGUAACGCAUCGGAACGUACCGAGUAGUGGGGGAUAACUGUCCGAAAGGAUGGCUAAUACCGCAUACGCUUUGAGAAGGAAAGCGGGGGAUCUUCGGACCUCGCGCUAUUCGAGCGGCCGAUGUCUGAUUAGCUAGUUGGUGGGGUAAAGGCCUACCAAGGCGACGAUCAGUAGCGGGUCUGAGAGGAUGAUCCGCCACACUGGGACUGAGACACGGCCCAGACUCCUACGGGAGGCAGCAGUGGGGAAUUUUGGACAAUGGGCGCAAGCCUGAUCCAGCCAUGCCGCGUGUCUGAAGAAGGCCUUCGGGUUGUAAAGGACUUUUGUCAGGGAAGAAAAGCUUUGGGUUAAUUNCCUGGAGUGANGACGUACCCUGAAGAAUAAGCCCCGGUA